GUCCACGCCCUAAACCAUGUCAACUAGUUGUCGGGAGAGCAAUCUCUUGGUAACGCAGCUAACGCGUGAAGUUGACCGCCUGGGGAGUACGGUCGCAAGAUUAAAACUCAAAGGAAUUGACGGGGACCCGCACAAGCGGUGGAUUAUGUGGAUUAAUUCGAUGCAACGCGAAAACCUUACCUACCCUUGACAUGUACCGAACCCCGAUGAGAGUCGGGGGUGCCCGAAAGGGAGCGGUAACACAGGUGCUGCAUGGCUGUCGU
rnacentral:rRNA from 1 species